UACGAAGGGGGCUAGCGUUGCUCGGAAUUACUGGGCGUACAGCGCACGUAGGCGGUCUUUUAAGUCGGGGGUGAAAUCCUGGAGCUCAACUCCAGAACUGCCUUCGAUACUGGAAGACUUGAGUCCGGGAGAGGUGAGUGGAACUGCGAGUGUAGAGGUGAAAUUCGUAGAUAUUCGCAAGAACACCAGUGGCGAAGGCGGCUCACUGGCCCGGUACUGACGCUGAGGUGCGAAAGCGUGGGGAGCGAACAGG
rnacentral:rRNA from 1 species